rnacentral:misc_RNA from 1 species
UUUCAAUACAAAACCCUCAUAACUACUCACAAAAUUAUUUCCUUUUUCUUUCUCAAAAUUAUCCUCAUCAGUUAGAAAAUAUUUUUUCUUCCAGCUUUGCAUACUGAAAUUGAUAUUUCUACGAAUACCUUGAAAGCACCUUUUCUCUAUUGACUGAGAAACACAAACACCAUCAAUUUGUUUCUUUUCCUUAUUAAUUUCAUUGACAUAACAAGAUCCUAACACCAUAGAAUCACUCUCAAUCAUUUUG